GGUCCUGGCCUUUUUAUUGUUUCGUAGCAAGUUUACACAUGCAAGCAUCCCCGCACCGGUGAGAAUGCCCUCAAUAUCGAUGCAGAUCAAGAGGAGCAGGUAUUAAGCACACUAAUUAGUAGCUCAAGAUGCCUUGCUUAACCACACCCCCAAGGGAAACAGCAGUGAUAAAAAUUUAGCAAUAAACGCAAGUUUGACUAAGUUAUGCUACUUUAGGGUUGGUAAAUUUCGUGCCAGCCACCGCGGUCAUACGAUUAACCCAAACUAAUAAACUCCCCGGCGUAAAGCGUGAUUAGAAUUAAAACAAAAAUAAAAUCAAAUAACAACUAAGCUGUAAAAAGUAAUAGUUACAAAUAAAAAUAAACAACGAAAGUGAUUUUACAACCUUCGAACUCACGAUAGCUAAGACCCAAACUGGGAUUAGAUACCCCACUAUGCUUAGCCCUAAACUUAAAUAAUUCCCUAACAAAAUUACUCGCCAGAGAACUACAAGCCAGAGCUUAAAACUCAAAGGACUUGGCGGUGCUUUAUACCCCCCUAGAGGAGCCUGUUCUAUAAUCGAUAAACCCCGAUAAACCUUACCACUCUUUGCCAACUCAGCCUAUAUACCGCCAUCUUCAGCGAACCCUAAAAAGGAACAAAAGUAAGCUCAACUAUCACCAUAAAAACGUUAGGUCAAGGUGUAGCCUAUAGAGUGGAAAGUAAUGGGCUACAUUUUCUUCUUCAGAACAUACGAAAGCCCUUAUGAAACUCUAAGGGCCAAAGGAGGAUUUAGUAGUAA
rnacentral:rRNA from 1 species